GUGAUCAAUGGUACUUUUGUCUUUCAUAAAUCAUCCUGCCCAUCGUCAAUUAUCUUAUUUUCAUCAAACUUUUGUCUAAACUUUCAUUGAAAAUGUUACAAUGUAUAUUUAUUUAAAUGGAUCAAGAUUAUACCACUCACGGUAAGAUAAACUCGAGGAUCUGGUUUUGAACAUCUGUGUAUUGGGAUUAUAGAUCCCUCAUUUCACCUAUCCGGUACUUGACCAGAAUUAAAGCAUAUGUUGAAAUAUUCAUGAAAAUAGAAAUAGCAGAACCAUUUUGACACUGAGGGUCAGAAGUGAUCGGCAAAGGUCACGUUUUUAUUGCCUACAAUUUGAUUUUUAUUGUUGUUAGUUUUGUUGUACAUGUAUGCGCCAAUGUUUUUCCGUUCUUACAUUGAAUUGGUGGUUUUCCGUGUUGUAUGUUAAAGUUGUACAUGUAGACAUCAAUGUUGUCCUAAACUUGCAUUCAUUUGUAUUGUUGACUUUCAGUUUCGAAUUUUCCUUUAAAUGAAGUUGCUUGGGUACUCUAUCAGUCUUAAGUUUUUAAACGAAUUUUAUCUCACCUUCACAAAGGAUCGGUGUAUACUGUUGCCGUCACAUUCAAUCAGGCAUUUAUCUGUUACUCAUAACACUUUUAAGUUGAUAUUCAUGUUUAAACUGAUUUAGAGACCCUCACAAAAACUUUUUUUUCUUACAAUGACUUUGAAAGUUUCUGUGGACGUACGAGCUUUAAUGUUUUCUGUGUAUUUCCCACUUCUUUUUUAUAUAGUACAUAAACUUUAAUGAGGUAAAAUUAAAUCAUUGAAUUGUUUUAUAUAUAUAUAACAUGAAAAAACCUGGCCAAGACAACUCUACUCCUACCUUGUAAUUUCUUGUACAUUUUCGUCUUCUCUAAAAAUCUUUGGCUCACGGAAAACAAUGCCAUAUACUUUUUAAUCAUACAAACUAUACAAUCUCGGAAAUGCAUUCUGUUUCUAUUUUCAGCAAGUUACGUAUUCUUAUUUGUAAUUAUGAUGUGUUUUAUUAUCUUUACGUGUUGUAUUGCAUAUUUGUGAUUGUUAAAAAAUGUGAUAAAAAAAAAUGUAAAAUAUCUAAGAUUUUUGUUUAAUAUUUGUAUAUGUUUGCAUAAUUCUUUUUAAAAUAUUGAGAGAAAUGUCCAUAGAUUUACAUAUGCCCCUUAAUCUGUCAUCUUAAUUUCUGACAAUUAACUGUGUUUGUUUUGGUAUUUUAUCACAGCUUCCUGUAGGAAGGAUUAAAGAUUGAGCACGAUAUUUGAUAUGGCGUCCCCACAAAAUUAAAACCGUAAGGUGUCAUUGUACUUAUAUUGUUCGGUGGGGUAUCAUGCCAAACUCUAAAAAAAUCGUUUUAUAAAUUAAUUGUUAUGAAGGCUUAACCGUAAAAACCUGUUUAUAUUUGUUGAUUUAUAAAUCUUCUGAGAUCUUCUUAUCAAAUUAAAAUCGACCGGUUCAAUACGCCACUUGAUAAGUCCCCAAACGAUCAAAUGAACAGAAAAUGUUUUAAAAUGAUAUGUCUCCUAAAGACCAAAAUGAACGAAAAACGUGAUAAAGAUUUCGAAGAUUAGGACGAGCACACAGAAAACCAAAUGACAUUCGUUUAAGUACAGAUUAUAUUUUUAUGUACUACAAUACCAUACAAGAACCAAAAAGAUGUUUUUUAAUUUUUUGUUUGUAAAAACCGACUUGCCAUUAACUGUAAAUAACAAGUAUAAAUCUGCAGGAGG
rnacentral:lncRNA from 1 species